AACGAACGCUGGCGGCAUGCCUAACGCAUGCAAGUCGAACGAGACCUUCGGGUCUAGUGGCGCACGGGUGCGUAACGCGUGGGAACCUGCCCUUAGGUUCGGAAUAACUCCCCGAAAGGGGUGCUAAUACCGGAUAAUGUCUUCGGACCAAAGAUUUAUCGCCUUUGGAUGGGCCCGCGUUGGAUUAGCUAGUUGGUAGGGUAAAAGCCUACCAAGGCGACGAUCCAUAGCUGGUCUGAGAGGAUGAUCAGCCACACUGGGACUGAGACACGGCCCAGACUCCUACGGGAGGCAGCAGUGGGGAAUAUUGGACAAUGGGCGAAAGCCUGAUCCAGCAAUGCCGCGUGAGUGAUGAAGGCCUUAGGGUUGUAAAGCUCUAUUACCCGGGAUGAUAAUGACAGUACCGGGAGAAUAAGCUCCGGCUAACUCCGUG
rnacentral:rRNA from 1 species